UUUGGCGGGAGAUAUUCUUUUGUAUUCUGGUUCUGUAAUUCUUGAAUUGCAACCAAGACUUCUAGCCAGACAGGUGUGUUUCAGACUGAGACAAAGCAUACAGACUCAGACCUGUCAAGUCAUAUAAUGAGCCUGAUCCGCUGAUUGAUACUACGUAUAUGCAGUGUCGUGCACCUAGUUCCAUAAAUUGGGUGAAACGAUUAAUGCGACGUAACGCUCAGAAUAUAUAUAAUAUAGAACCCUACAAUCGUCUUGGUGUUUUGUUUUAUUCGUCCAAGAACGGUUACACAUAUUUA